CGUUUCUGAUAGAGAAAAAGCUAAGAAGGGAAAGAAGACUGAAAUAAUGGGAAUUCUUGAUUACUGACUGUCUCCUUUGAAGUAUAGAUCUCCACUAAGAGCUUUCAUGGGGAUGAAGAAUCGGACCUUUGCCAGUAACUUGUCUCAGUAUGCGCUUUGAGGUUUCUCAAUGGCUGAGGUGAUAGUAGGGAUAAUUGUUCCUGCAGCUACAACUAUUGCCCAAUCUGUCAUAGAA